rnacentral:rRNA from 1 species
UACGAAGGGGGCUAGCGUUGCUCGGAAUCACUGGGCGUAAAGGGUGCGUAGGCGGGUCUUUAAGUCUGGGGUGAAAUCCUGGGGCUCAACUCCAGAACUGCCUUUGAUACUGAAGAUCUUGAGUUCGGGAGAGGUGAGUGGAACUGCGAGUGUAGAGGUGAAAUUCGUAGAUAUUCGCAAGAACACCAGUGGCGAAGGCGGCUCACUGGCCCGAUACUGACGCUGAGGCACGAAAGCGUGGGGAGCAAACAGG